rnacentral:rRNA from 1 species
AUUGAACGCUGGCGGAAUGCUUUACACAUGCAAGUCGAACGGCAGCAUGGACUUCGGUCUGGUGGCGAGUGGCGAACGGGUGAGUAAUGUAUCGGAACGUGCCCAGUCGUGGGGGAUAACGUAGUGAAAAUUACGCUAAUACCGCAUACGAUCUAUGGAUGAAAGCGGGGGAUCGCAAGACCUCGCGCGAUUGGAGCGGCCGAUAUCAGAUUAGGUAGUUGGUGGGGUAAAGGCCCACCAAGACAACGAUAGGGAGCGGGUCUGAGAGGACGACCAGCCAGACUGGAACGGAGAACCGGUCCAGACUCCUACGGGAGGCAGCAGUGGGGAAUUUUGGACAAUGGGCGAAAGCCUGAUCCAGCCCUCCGGCGUGCAGGGUGAAGGCCCUCGGGUUGUAAACUGCUUUUGUACAGAACGAAAAGGUUUCUACUAAUACUAGGAGCUCAUGACGGUACUGUAAGAAUAAGCACCGGCUAACUACGUGCCAGCCGCCGCCGUAA